rnacentral:rRNA from 1 species
GAUGAACGCUAGCUACAGGCUUAACACAUGCAAGUCGAGGGGAAACGACAUCGAAAGCUUGCUUUUGAUGGGCGUCGACCGGCGCACGGGUGAGUAACGCGUAUCCAACCUGCCCAUCACUUGGGAAUAACCUUGCGAAAGUAAGACUAAUACCCAAUGAUAUCCCACGAAGGCAUCGGAAUGGGAUUAAAGAUUUAUCGGUGAUGGAUGGGGAUGCGUCUGAUUAGCUUGUUGGCGGGGUAACGGCCCACCAAGGCAACGAUCAGUAGGGGUUCUGAGAGGAAGGUCCCCCACAUUGGAACUGAGACACGGUCCAAACUCCUACGGGAGGCAGCAGUGAGGAAUAUUGGUCAAUGGGCGCGAGCCUGAACCAGCCAAGUAGCGUGCAGGAAGACGGCCCUAUGGGUUGUAAACUGCUUUUAUAAGGGAAUAAAGUGGGUCACGUGUGACUUUUUGCAUGUACCUUAUGAAUAAGGACCGGCUAAUUCCGU